rnacentral:rRNA from 1 species
UACAGAGGUCUCAAGCGUUGUUCGGAUUCAUUGGGCGUAAAGGGUGUGUAGGUGGCGCCGUAAGUCGGGUGUGAAAUUUCGGAGCUUAACUCCGAAACUGCAUUCGAUACUGCGGUGCUUGAGGACUGGAGAGGAGACUGGAAUUCAUGGUGUAGCAGUGAAAUGCGUAGAGAUCAUGAGGAAGACCAGUGGCGAAGGCGGCUCGCUGGGCCAGUUCUGACACUCAUCCGCGAAAGCGUGGGGAGCAAACAGG